rnacentral:piRNA from 1 species
UAAGAUAGGCUAACUAACGGUGUGAUAC